rnacentral:rRNA from 1 species
AGCGAACGCUGGCGGCAGGCCUAACACAUGCAAGUCGAACGGAUCCUUCGGGAUUAGUGGCGGACGGGUGAGUAACACGUGGGAACGUGCCCUUUGGUUCGGAACAACUCAGGGAAACUUGAGCUAAUACCGGAUGUGCCCUUCGGGGGAAAGAUUUAUCGCCAUUGGAGCGGCCCGCGUCUGAUUAGCUAGUUGGUGAGGUAACGGCCCACCAAGGCAACGAUGAGUAGCUGGUCUGAGAGGAUGAUCAGCCACACUGGGACGGAGACACGGCCCAGACCCCUAGGGUAGGCGGCAGUAGGGAACCUUCCGGAAGGGGCGAAAGCCGGAAGGAGCAAAGCCGCGUGAGUUAUGAAGGUCUUCGGAUCGUAAAACUCGGUUAUUAGGGAAGAACAGAUGUGUAAGUAAAUGUGCACAUCUUGACGGUACCUAAUCAGAAAGCCAAGGCUAACUACGUG